AGUGUCAAGGGAUGGGAAUCGAACCCACGACUUCCGCUUACCGGGCAGAUUCCAUGACCACUUGGCUAUAGGCUC
rnacentral:tRNA from 1 species